rnacentral:SRP_RNA from 1 species
GCCGGGCGUGCUGGCGCAUGCCUGUAAUUCCAGCUACUCGGGAGGCUGAGGCAGGAGAAUCACUUGAACCUGGGGGGCGGGGGUUGCAGUGAGCCAAGAUCACGCCACUGCACUCCAGCCCAGGCAACAGAGCAAGACUCUGCCUCAA